ensembl:lncRNA
AAGACAAGUAAGAGGGAGGUAGGUAUAUACCUCACCGCAUGAACUAUGACAUUUUAUGGCCUUAUAUCUGAAUGACCUCACACUUAUUCAUUGUCCAAUUGGUUUCGGUGAACAUCUUUGUCAUUGAAGCCUCACAAUUUCAAAUGUAAAGCACUAUCUCAGUAUCUAAAGAGAUAUAUUUUCUCAGCCUCACUUAACAAAGCUACUAUUUUGGUAGAAUUUGACAGUGCACAAAGCAAGCCAAAAAAUUAUUUGACUUGUAUAUAUGUGCACAUAUUUAUGUACAUAUGAUCACACAAAAGCCAUUAUUUCAAAGUCAUUUAUAAGCUGCUAAAUAAUGCCAAAAAAUAAUUUAUAUAGUGUCACUAUUCAAAAUAAUUUUAGUUCACAGGAUCAAUUGGAUUAUAGUAUAGAAAGAGCACCUGUGUUUGGAUAAUUUCCUAUAGUGUACUGUAUAGUUAGCUGUCUGAUUUUUAUUGGAUGCUACAUCCAGGACUUUCCUCUUUAUAAAAUUGUAAAAUCUGUUGUGCUAAUCCUUUUCAGUGUGAAGUAUUCAAAGUAUCUUUGUUUCACGCAGUAGUUCUAUUGGACUUGUUCAAGUUGCCACUGGAGCAGUUUGUUUUCAGGUGCAAGUCAAUUUAUUUUCUAACUACUUUUACAUGCACCUAGAUAGUGUGAUCAUUUGAGCUUUAGUCAGUUACCUAAUUCUGAUUCAUAAAAAAAAGAAAACUGUUGUCUUCAGUUUAAGUCAUCAAGUGCUCAUGUGCAUGACACACCUAAGCCAGGGAAGGUGGUAUCACUGUGGCAGUUAUCUAGCAAAAAUCCAAGAUUACUGCAUCUAAAGUCUAGUCCAGUGUGUGGUGAACAAAUCUGUGGAUUUUAAUAUUAAAUGAAGUGGUUUAGUGUUUUAAAUUGAACAAGUGCAUUUCUAACAUUAAGAAGGUUUUUAGAUGGAAAUAUGCAAGCAGUAAAACAUGCUCCCCUAUAAUAGAGCACAUCUCCUCACAUUACAUUUAGUUCAGUUGCACCUGUAAGAAAUAUUUUCUUGUAGAAAGUAAUUUCUUAUAGAACGUACAUGCACUUAAAAUAUGGCAAAGUUGAUUGAAACUGCAGAAAGGAGACUUUUUACUCCGUCAAUAUUCCAGUGCAUCUAAAUAAGUCAUCCGAUCUCAUGCCCUUACCUGACUUCCAGCUUUCUCUCAUGUGCAUGUAAAUGUGGUAAAACUGAGAAUUCAUUGCUCCUGGCUAUGAUGUGACUUUAGUAGGGACAUUGGAAGUUGUAGAAGUAUAUUCUCGGAGAUGGAAACAGUGUUCACUAUCACAGUUAAAUGUUUGCACAAGGAAUUCUGAUACCGACUGAACAUUUGCCUGAUGUUAUUUAUCAGAUAACUCUGAGGAUCUGGCUUAAAUAGUUAGGCCUGGUAGUAAAAUAAAUAUUGUGAUAUUUUGUAAAGUAUUAGGUUUAAAAAACAAAAAAUUGAAUAAACACAAUAAAUACAUUUCUGUGAAUGCUUGAAAGCAUGUUGGAGAUGAAAUUUCCUGUAUGGCUUUUUAUAGGAGGCUGGACUGCUAAUCUAUAGAUGUACAAUACGCAUACGUGCAGCUGGUCUCUAAGGAUUGUGGAAAGAUUUGGCUGUGCCUUGCAGCACACUGCUCUCAGGAUGCUUUCACUUUUCUAAUUUUAAGUCUUUCCUGCCAAAACCAGCGGUUACUGGCAAAAGUGUACUCUGAUCUAGUAAUUAUAUAUAGAUAUAUUUGUGAAAUUCCUACAUGUAACAUGUAGUACCUUAAAGUUAGUUAUUUAUGGUUGAGACAUGAAGAUGGCAUUGCAAAACUUUGUACUUUUUGUGAAUAUCCUCUUUAUGCACCUUGAGCGUUCGAACAGCGAGCUAACAGUUUGAAUUCAUGUGGUGCAACUUCAGAAGUUCCAUAAGCGUGUCUGUGUAGCCAAAGACAAAUGUGACAAUAUUAAAAAGUACUCAAAAAAGUUGUUUUCUUGAUUUGCUCAUGGUAAUGCUGAUUGGAAAGUGUUGAACCAGGCCUUUAAAAUUUCUGCCCUUAUCAAGCCUAAAAAUGAUGACGUUGGGUACUAAGUUUGGUAUCUAACAUCUGAUACCAGGCAGUCAGGCCUGAUAUUAUUCUGCUUCAAACACUACACUUGCAGAAGUUGUACCAUGUAAAGCCAGCCCAUAUAGCAGAACCAUGCUCCUAGCGCAUUUAAAGGGAAAUGCCACUUAUUUUCAGGGUUCAGGAAUGGUAACCCUUAGGCCUGCUAUUAAAGUGCACAGUGGUUAAAGGCUCAUUUGUAAAAGAUUCCAUUGAGUUUCAACAAACAACAAAAAUGCAUUUGGUGUCAGUUUAUAGUUCGUGCUAAUAAAUUAUUAAAAACGCUAUAAAUUAAUGUUUAGCUCGCAUUUUAGGAAACGAAGCUGCACCAGACUAUCACAAAGCUGUCUAUUUGUCAUUUAUUCUAUGAACGUGUUCAUGAAUUUUUAAACUGAGUGGUAUUACUCUUUAACAAGGCUAAUUAUGUGAGCCUGACCUUGUCUCCUUGGUGGUGCUUUUAAAGAUGCAUAUAAAUAUUUCUUUGUAAUGUUUAGGUAGAACCGUAAUAUGUAGACAUAAAGAAAAAAAACAGUUGAAUGUGUUUUGCCCAAAAUGAUUUUUGGGCUUUGCUGACUUUGUUUUUCAUGAAAAAAGACAAGGCCACGUUAGGCUAGCUGUCUGUUCAUGAGAAGGUGAAACAAACUGCCUAAAUGUUUCUUCAUGUGAAACAAUCAGAUUGCAAGGCUGCUGUCAAGGUUGUUUCUGGCAUUUGGCUAAAAGUUUGCGUGCCAUCCUUUCCCUUUGAAAUAAUUGAAUUGUUCUACUUUGGAAAACUUUGUAAAAACACUGAAGCGCUGUAUGCUACAAGAAACGACUCUAAAUAAAAAAAACAAACAAAACAACAACAAAAAAAAUUGGCUUUGUUGCCAAUUGUAGCACCAAAUUAAGAUCAGUAGUUUGCCUUUUUCACUUAGAAAUAUUUAACCUUAUUGAGGUCCAUAUUCAACAUGAACACUGGAAUAGUCCAUUGACCAUGAGCUAAAUUGUGCGUGUACUUCACUUAGUAACUGUAAUGUAGGAUGUAGGUCACAGCAUAAAUCCACCAAAAAGCAAAUGGUCUGGGUUUUUUGUUUUAAUGUUUUGUGUUAAAUUUGGAAACUUGGUUGGCAAUGGACCACUUCCAGGAUAAAAAAAUAAAAACCUCAUUAUUUCUGAUAAAUACUUUCAAUGUACCAAUCUUUCUUCUUUUGUUGUUGUUGUUGCUUUGGAUAAAUGUUAUAGACCAUAAUGGUGGUUUUUAGUCCUCUCCCUUCCUUUCUAAGUGCCGCAAACAGCUAAGUCACAAAUGUCUAGAAUUGACUUUUGCUUGUUGAUACAAAUUGUAUCUAUACCUUGAAUGUAACAAAAUAUGAAAUGUAUAAUAUGAAAAUAGUUUUGUUUAAAUAAAGGGGGUAAAAAAACAAUGCCAUAAUGUUUGUGACACUGUGUGUCACUGGGAGUAGCCCACUGGUAUGUACUUAUUCUUACUGGGUACAGUAGUUAAAUUACAGGGACAUUUAUGUGCUACAUAAACGUGCACAGAUACCCUGUGUACAGCAGUAAGCAUCGUGUCCUCUUUGUACAUAG